UUGAGGACCCCACUGUGUUCUAGGUUCCUGUCUGUCCCUCAGUCACAGAGCUGUGGUCAUUCCAGGACAUGGGGACAAACCAUUCUUUCCUAGCCAGGUGCCUUCGAGCCUUCCCUUCCAAGACCUGCACUUUUCCUGCUGUGUUCUCUUGUUUCCAGAGCCCAUCCAUCCUGGGAGCUGGGGUAGUCUUCAUUAUGAGCUAUUCUCUUCUGGAGUUCUCCACUGUGGUGGAGGGUGCGGAAUGCUCAGAGGGACCUGCAUGCAUGGUUUUGGUGUGCAGAGAGCCAUAUCACAUCGUGUUUCUCACUGGGGUCUUGGAACCUGUGGAUCUUAGUCCCUACACAGUCCCUCUGAGGCAUGCUCAAAUGCCCUGCCAGCAAGCUAGAACCAGACUCAGGGUUAGGUCAGAGCGCAUGCCCUUAGCCUCACCUCCCACCUGUCAGUGAGGAUGGCUCCUGUGUUCUGAAAGCUACUCUCUGUGUGAGACCAUGUGAGAGCUGA
rnacentral:lncRNA from 1 species